AAGUUAAGAUUCACAGACUGCAGAAGCUCUAGAAAUGAGCUGUUCUCAAGGAGCAGUGAUUGUACUGCUCUUAAUGCUUGGGGGAAGCCAUGGAGACUCGGUGACCCAGACACAAGGCCAUGUGACCCUCUCUGAAGGGGCUUCCCUGACUGUGAACUGUUCCUAUGAAGCAACAUAUUACCCAACUCUCUUCUGGUACAUCCAGUAUCCUGGAGAAGGUCCCCAGGUCCUCUUUAAAGUCGCCAAGGCCAAUGACAAGGGAAACCACAAAGGAUUUGAAGCCAUAUAUGACAGAGAAAGCACCUCCUUCCACUUGAAGAAAGCUGCAGUCCUAGAGUCAGACUCGGCUGUGUACUACUCUGCUCUGAGAGACACAGUGGCAGAAACCACAGAGGGAGCUGAGCACAAACUGAGGGACAACAGGGGCUUGGCUGCUGAGCUUCUGCUUCUCAGCUGGCUCUCUUGA